rnacentral:tRNA from 1 species
UUGUAGCUUAGGUAAAGCAUUUGCCUACCUUGCAUGAGGUCCUGGGUUCAAUUCCCGGCAA